GACGAACGCUGGCGGCGUGCCUAAUACAUGCAAGUUGAGCGCUGAAGGUUGGUACUUGUACCAACUGGAUGAGCAGCGCACGGGUGAGUAACGCGUGGGGAAUCUGCCUUUGAGCGGGGGACAACAUUUGGAAACGAAUGCUAAUACCGCAUAAAAACUUUAAACACAAGUUUUAAGUUUGAAAGAUGCAAUUGCAUCACUCAAAGAUGAUCCCGCGUUGUAUUAGCUAGUUGGUGAGGUAAAGGCUCACCAAGGCGAUGAUACAUAGCCGACCUGAGAGGGUGAUCGGCCACAUUGGGACUGAGACACGGCCCAAACUCAUACGGGAGGCAGCAGGAGGGAAUCUUCGGGAAUGGACGAAAGUCUGACCGAGCAACGCCGAGGGAGGGAAGAAGGUUGUCGGAUCGGAAAACUCUGUUGGUAGAGAAGAACGUGGGUGAGAGUGGAAAGCUCAUCAAGUGACGGUAACUACCCAGAAAGGGACGGCUAACUACGUG
rnacentral:rRNA from 1 species